rnacentral:misc_RNA from 1 species
UAAAUGUGAGUGUGAUGUGAUUUUAUUAAGAUGAAAAGAGACUUCAAAAGAUUGCUACUUUGUCUUCUUGUAGAAAGUUGUUCAUAAAAUGGAGAAAUUUGGAAAUCUGAAUAUAGAUAAUUGGUAUAUGUUACUUUGGUUAGUGUCAUGUGUCCCAAAGAAGAAAUAAUUGACAUUCGAGCUCAGUAGGAAAGGUUAAAGAGAGAUGAGCUCUCCUCAAUUUUCACUUGAAGCCCAACAACCCAAAACUCUUUAAGCCAUUCCAUUAAUAUGAAAUUAUUCUUGAAA